rnacentral:misc_RNA from 1 species
CGUUCUGGGCAAAUCUCAGCAUAUCCCUUGUUAUGACGCUGAUUUUCUGGCUUGCGGCGCCCUGGGUGGGAUAUCUGACCGUCGGGCGGAUACCUCAAUUUUUUAUGCAGGUACCCUGGCAGCAUCUGGCUGUCUUGAACAUCAUUGUGCUGUUGACGGGUUUCUGGAAGCUGGAAGACUGCAGCUGGAUUUAUGAACCGGCAAAGAGGACCAAGAAGCACAUGAUCAACGUGUGGACGGCAAAAAGACACUCUUUGGGUAUCUUUAAUUCUGUUUCUCAUCACACUUGCUUUUUCCUAUGCGUCCAACGAUGUCUUGUCAAGUUCCCUGCCGAAAGAGAAGAAUGCUUUUCAGACAAAGAUUGAAAAGAUGGGCGCUGAUAUCGGCUCCGGUUUCCCGUCAUCAAAUUGAUGCUAGGCGCGGUGUAACCACCAGCUCGUGCUGUGAUGGAGAAGAUCGGCUCGUAACGGUUGACAGCUGUGAUAGCCUCAACUUUUUUGUCCUGAUUAUCCAGCA